rnacentral:rRNA from 1 species
UGGGGAAUAUUGGACAAUGGGCGAAAGCCUGAUCCAGCCAUGCCGCGUGUGUGAAGAAGGUCUUCGGAUUGUAAAGCACUUUAAGUUGGGAGGAAGGGCAUUAACCUAAUACGUUAGUGUUUUGACGUUACCGACAGAAUAAGCACCGGCUAACUCUGUGCCAGCAGCCGCGGGAAUACAGAGGGUGCAAGCGUUAAUCGGAAUUAGUGGGCGUAAAGCGCGCGUAGGUGGUUUGUUAAGUUGGAUGUGAAAUCCCCGGGCUCAACCUGGGAACUGCAUUCAAAACUGACUGACUAGAGUAUGGUAGAGGGUGGUGGAAUUUCCUGUGUAGCGGUGAAAUGCGUAGAUAUAGGAAGGAACACCAGUGGCGAAGGCGACCACCUGGACUAAUACUGACACUGAGGUGCGAAAGCGUGGGGAGCAAACA